rnacentral:tRNA from 1 species
GCACGUAUAAUUUAACAGGUAAAAUAAAUGAUUUCCAAUCAUUAAUAGUGGGUUCGAGUCCUGCUGUGUGCA